rnacentral:rRNA from 1 species
AACGAACGCUGGCGGCAGGCCUAACACAUGCAAGUCGAGCGCGCCUUCGGGUGAGCGGCGGACGGGUGAGUACCGCGUGGGAAUAUGCCCUUCUCUACGGAAUAGUCCUGGGAAACUGGGGGUAAUACCGUAUACGCCCUUUGGGGGAAAGAUUUAUCGGGGAAGGAUUAGCCCGCGUUGGAUUAGGUAGUUGGUGGGGUAAUGGCCUACCAAGCCGACGAUCCAUAGCUGGUUUGAGAGGAUGAUCAGCCACACUGGGACUGAGACACGGCCCAGACUCCUACGGGAGGCAGCAGUGGGGAAUCUUAGACAAUGGGGGCAACCCUGAUCGAGCCAUGCCGCGUGAGUGAUGAAGGCCUUAGGGUUGUAAAGCUCUUUCAGCUGGGAAGAUAAUGACGGUACCAGCAGAAGAAGCCCCGGCUAACUCCGUG